rnacentral:rRNA from 1 species
ACACGGAGGGCGCAAGCGUUGCUCGGAAUCACUGGGCGUAAAGCGGGUGUAGGCGGUUUAGCAAGUCAGAUGUGAAAGCCCACGGCUCAACCGUGGAAGUGCAUCUGAAACUGCUAGACUUGAGUGCCGGAGAGGGAAGUGGAAUUCCUGGUGUAGGGGUGAAAUCCGUAGAUAUCAGGAGGAACACCGGUGGCGAAGGCGACUUCCUGGACGGCCACUGACGCUGAGACCCGAAAGCGUGGGGAGCAAACAGGAUUAGAAACCCUAGUAGUCC